CAGCGACGCGAGGGAUCUAGGACCCGGGCACGCUUCCGGCGUCGCCCUGGUGACGGGUGGGGGCGGGGCCAGAACUGUCACUCAGCUCGCAUUCUGCCUGGCUGAAAAGGGCACAGGAAAAUUGAAGGUCCCUGGCUGGAGCCCACCUGGAGGUUGGCUCAAGUCAUUCUCUCCAUCUGUAGCACCCUUUCACACAGCUUAGAUGUCCUCAGCGUCCUCCCUGACUUCAAACCAACCCGCAUCUUUUGUCCAGGAGGUUUGCCAGGGUAGUUCCCAGGUACUUUCCGGGGUUCUGAAAGUCAAAAGAGAAAGAGCCUUUGAAGGUAAAGAGUGCCAGAUGACGGAACGCAAGACUGGAAGUCUGAGAAGAGCCCUGGACAACAGCCAGCAGGAAAACAAAGCCCUCAGUCCUGCAGCAGCAUGGAACUGGAUUCUGCCAACCAUCUGAAUGAGCUGGAGUAAGUAGAUUCUUCCCCAGAGCCUCCAAGUAAGAGCUCCCCUGGCCAACACCUCAGUUGCAGCUUGUGAGACCCAGAGCAGACAACCUGCGGAAUGGUGAACUGAAAAAGACAAUGGUUUAAGCCACUGAGUUUGUGGUAUUGUGUUACAGUAGCAGUAGAAAAGAAGUACCCUCGGGAGACCCAGGGCCUCCACACAGGAAGAAUCUGUUUGUUCUCCUGUUUGAUGAACACAAACCCUUCACCUCCCUCUUAUCAAAUGCUUCAUUUCUGCCUUUCCAACAGUCAUCAGGCACCUCACAGAGGAGCUGUCACUACUCCAUCCUACAAGCACUGGGCCUUGGGGUAAAAGUGAGAGGCAUGACUGGAGGAGGCCCAGCUGAGUUUGGGAAGGGCAACUGCAAGGGUGGUGGAAAGAGGGUGGUUCUCCCUUGGGCAAGGCAGGUCCAGGAACUAUGGGCUGAGUUGCAGAAUGGUACUGUGGAGAGAGGCAUGUCCCACUGGCAUGUAAAAGGGGACUACAGGGAAGACAAAGGACCUACCUAGGCGGCAAACUCAGAAGGUCUGCCCAAUAGACUCAAGGUAAGGGGAAAAUCCAAGUAGCUUCAGCGAAGUUCUCAGCCCUGAAGGAAGAGGUCUGGUGAUUGAGAAAGACGUGAAGAUGGAGGACCUGGACCAGGAGGUCAGGAGGGGUCUGGGUGGGAAGAACCAAACACUGACCACUCUCAGGCAGUCAAGGGCACCCAAGAACUGUGGCCUCCAGCGUCACAAGCCUGAAGCAAAUAUUUAUUUUGCUUCUUUUUCCCAAGACCUUAUUGUAGUGGUUGUACUUUCUUGCUUUGCACUAGAUACUGGAAAUUGAAUUGGGAUGCUCAACCACUAAGCCAUAUCCCCAGUCCUUUUUUUAUUUUUAUGAGACAGAGUCUCACUAAUUUGCUGAGGCUGGCCUCAAACUUGUGAUCCUCCUGCCUCAGUCUCCCUAGGAUUACAGACAUGUGCCACUGAGCCCAGCUCAUGUGAGUGUUCUGAGGAAUGAAUGACUGCAGUAGAGGACACCAGUUUAAGGAACCAGGGAAGAGCUACGUGGCCUGUAUAUAUUGAAAAUCUGAGGCCAGGCCCAAGAUGGGAGAAGUAGGUACCAAACAGAUCUGAAAGGAGUAGAAGAAAUUGAGCUCCAGCGUGACUGGGCUCCCUGAGCUGCUGUUAGACCAGGACGCAAGAAAAGACCAGUGACUCCAAUUAAAAUCAAAUUAAAGCAAGCUCAUUAUUUUGACCGGCCGGGCUGCCUCUCCCACCCAAAACUGUGGGAAUCAAGACAGCAACAGCAGUUUUCCUGCAGCCCAGCUUUAUAGCCCAGAAAGUUACACAAAGGGGGGUUACAGAUAACAGAACUCUGACAAGCAUCACACGAAUGGUAGUUUACAUUUUUGCUGGCCCCAACAUCAGAAUUUAUGAGGACCAUUAGAGCCUCAGAGAGGGUCGUUGUCUGGCCAGGGAAAGCCAAUAUUUAUGAGGUGUCUCUAAGUUUCAGAGAGGGCUGCUAUCUGGUCAGAGAGCCAGGCAGGGGUGAGUUCAAGGCCCGGGCAGGCAUUCCAAGCAGGUUCAGAAUUUGCAGUAAUUUACAGCAAAGCCGAAAUUAGCUUUUCAUGGCUUUGUGGCGAGAUGGCUCCCAUUUUUAAGAAAAGAUCAGGUUGGGUCUAUCAUUCCCCCCUUUUCUUAUGUGUCCCUUUCAAAUAUUUGAUAGGGUAGGAGAAGAGCACUGAGGGAAUUUUAAUCCCUCAGGCAACAGUCUCCAACUUUUUAGAACUCACCCAAAACCUGUCUCCCUGAUUUGAUCUGACUUAAUUAAUUACUUAUAUUGACAGUCUAUUUUUGGCUCCAUUGUUGUAAGAAGAGGGGCGUUGCUCGUUUUGGCUUCUUCUGAGCUGAGAGGGGGUGACGUGAGGGGGCAUGGCGUGAGGGACAUGAGCUCCCUUUUAGAAGUCAGUUUGGUUUGAAGUCUGGUUGGGGAAGAACAGGUUGUAAAGUCAUCUGGGGAUGGGUGCUUCUAUGAGAGAAACAAAAACCAUGAGUACUGCAUAAAUGUCGCAGCAGCUGGAACAUGUCACUGUGCAGAAGUUCCCUCACCAGGCCUUAACAUCCCCAGUUAUCAGGACUGUAAGUACAACAUUUAACUUUUAGGGUUACAGUUGUCCCUCCCCAUAAGGUACAGUUUAAUAAUUUAAUGUCAUCUGAUCUUGCAAAAUCCUUUUACUAGUGUGACCUCUGUGUCUAAUAGAGAAACCUUUAAUUCUGUUACUCAGGGCUGGAUAAUCAAACUAGCAAACACCAAGCCUACCUGUGUAGGUUAGGAAUAUCUGUGGGCCUUAAACUAAAAACUUCUGUCUCUGGCAGCUCCUCUUGAUAGUCUCUUUUUAUAGUUAUCAGGCAUUUCUGUCUGAGAAUCCUUCUUUUCAGCCUCCAGUCUUACUUAUUUUGGGAGGUUAACAUAAAGUGUAUACCUUAAAAUAUUAUUAUCAUUAUUAUUAUUGUCAUCAUUAUUAUUUAAAAUGCCCAGGAAUGGCUGUGUUUUUUUUUAAAGAGAGAGUGAGAGACAGAGAGAAAGAGAGAGAGUGAGAGAGAAUUUUUUAAUAUUCAUUUUUUAGUUUUCGGCAGACACAACAUCUUUGUUUGUAUGUGGUGCUGAGGAUCGAACCCGGGCCACACGCAUGCCAGGCGAGCGCGCUACCGCUUGAGCCACAUCCCCAGCCCCUGUGUUUUGGUUUUAAUGUCUUUGCUAGGUGUUUAAGAUGAAGCAGUCAAACUGACUUUUGUUUCUAUCUAUUGUUAACAGUCAGCGGAGUUUCCCUGGGAGUCCUGGGGAAACUUGAGAGCAGCUUGUCAGUUCUGCUAGUGCUAUUUGCGCUAGUAUGGGUCCAGGUCUUGCUGGACCAUGUGGCUUCCCUCAGAAGCAUCAGGGAUGUCUCCCUUCUCUGAUGACCCUCCUCUUCACAGCAAAUGCACUGAUUGGCUUUCUGUCCUCCACUGGUCUCAUUAAUCUCCCUGUUCAGGAGGUUAUGUGGCCCAGAGUUGCAAAGCUCUUUAGAGAAGUCCCCUGUUCCCUGGAUUCAGACUGACUCAGAGGGCAAGAGCCAAAUAUUGUUUUUUUUUGGCCCUUUUAAUUUAACUUUAAUUUUAAAACUUAAUCUUAAACAUCCAGCAAAUAAAUUUUAACAGCCUUAUAUUAAGAGUACUGGGCUUUAAUGUCUAUAACUUUACAAUUAUUUAUCUUUUUUAUUAAUUGGGAUCUGUAUUAUCAUAUCUGUCUUGUAGGUGAUGGCUUAUUAUCUUAAAUUAACCCAUGUUGUGUUCUUAAAGCAACACUUCUGUAAAACACUAACAGGGAAUCUUUAGACCAUUUAUAAGGAAAUUACAAAAUAAAAUUAACAAGAGUAAAAACAUUUAGUUCAUGUAAUAGCUACCCUGAAUUUUGGCUGAGUUAUACAUUAUAUCCCCUGUUUGAGAUCCUAGUAAUCUUGACAGAAAAAAACAAAAAAACAACUUUUGAACAUAACUUUAAAUGAACUAAAAUCUGGCCUACUGCUUUUGUAGUCAUUCUCACAUGUAGUAAGAUGGGACACAGAGCCUUGUUGUAAGGGUCCGGCAGACGUCGGAGGAAGAGACCACCAAGAGACCGGCUCAUGCAACAGCAAAAGGGGAUUUAUUGAGGAUCCAAUCCAGCGUGCUGGGGCUCCAAGCUCACUCAACAAGGGAGAGCGGCCCAGAGCCCAGAGCAGGGGUUGAACAGUGCUUAAGUACACUUUUUGGGGAGGGCGGGGGCUCUGCAUACAUCAGAGCAAAUCAUCAUGAGGCGCAGGAAAAUCAAACAACAACUCUCAAACUUGAUUAGCACAUUCAUUGGCAGGAACAGGUCGGGCGGGAAGGGGGGGUACAUUCAAACUGAUUGGUUUGGGCCCUGAAUGCCUACGUGCCAAACUGCACAGGGUCCUAGGUUAUUUAUCUACUGGACAGUCCCAGGAAUUGUUUUAACAGCUCCAGGAAUUUCAGGUUUUGGGGGUGUAGCAUAGGAACUUAACAAUACCUGGUCCUUUACAUUUUAACUCAGGCUUUGCAGCUUAGAAACUUUACGAUACCCGGUCUUUUACACUUUAAUUUCAAUUUCUUUUACUCUUACAUUGUCUCAGGUAAGGCAGGGCUCUUUAUAAAUCUUAAGUGUUCUAGUUCUAAAGCUGAUCUUUGCUUUUUAAAUAUCAUUUUACAAAGUUUACAUAAAUUGUUUGAGGUCACAUGAACAUUAGCUAACACCAUAUGAUAUCACAUUUAAAACAUGAAUUAAAGAAAGGCUGAAAGUUUUUAACCUUUACAUAGAUUAGGCUCUCAUUAACUUAAAAAUACAUUUAAAUUGUUCCCCAAUGUAAAAAGUAACAUAACACUUUACAUAUCUUAUUGAUAACAGGUAAAUAAAUUCCCAAUAUAUUUUUUUUACCAAACAACUUUAGAACACCAGCUUGAUAUAAUGCUCUUUAAAGCUUCUACCUUAUAGACUUGUAUACCUGGAAGAUAUGAGCACAUUAAUAGCAUCACAAUUACAUUGAUGUUUCUAUAUUAACCAAGUUUAGCUUUUAAAGAAAUGGCAGUACAAUGCUCUAAAAUAACAGUUCUUAUUUAACCAGUUGCUUAAUUUUUAUGGUUGCUUGCUCUAGAAAAAAAUAAAACUUAAUAAACACAAUGUUAUGGGUAAACUUAUGUUUUAAGAAAAUUUUGUCUUUUUAACACAUGACCGAUUGUAAAAACAAACUUAUACAAACUUAUAUAGUAAAUAAAUCAGAUAUCUAACAAAAGUACUCAUGAAUGAGUAAUCCCAUAUCAAAUUUACUUUACUUAUUUAUCAAAAUAUCAGACAAAUGUAUUGAACAGUGUUAACCAUUUUUUCUUGUUGAAAGAAAAGUCCUAGAACCAAGACAUAUUAGACAUUUUAUAGACAUUAAUAUUUUAUUAGUUUUUUUGAACACCUAGAAAAACUUGUAAGCGGGGCUGGGGAUGUGGCUCAAGCGUUAGCACGCUCGCCUGGCAUGCGUGUGGCCCGGAUUCGAUCCUCAGCACCACAUA